CUAUGUAUAGCUCUGUUGGUUAGAGCGCUGUACCAGAAUCACAGGGCUGCAGGUUCAAUUCCUGCCAGACAGC